rnacentral:rRNA from 1 species
CCUACGGGAGGCAGCAGUGGGGAAUCUUGCACAAUGGAGGAAACUCUGAUGCAGCGAUGCCGCGUGAGUGAAGAAGGCCUUUGGGUUGUAAAGCUCUUUUGUAGGGGAAGAUAAUGACUGUACCCUAAGAAUAAGGUCCGGCUAACUUCGUGCCAGCAGCCGCGGUAAUACGAAGGGACCUAGCGUAGUUCGGAAUUACUGGGCGUAAAGCGCGCGUAGGCCGUUGAGUUAGUUAAUUGUGAAAUCCCAAAGCUUAACUUUGGAACUGCAAUUAAAACUGCUCGACUAGAGUUUGAUAGAGGAAAGCGGAAUACAUAGUGUAGAGGUGAAAUUCGUAGAUAUUAUGUAGAACACCAGUUGCGAAGGCGGCUUUCUGGAUCAACACUGACGCUGAGGCGCGAAAGUAUGGGUAGCAAAGAGGAUUAGAUACCCUGUAGUCCAUACCAUAAACGAUGAUUGNUANAUGUUAGUAAUUAUUUACUAGUAUCGCAGCUACGACAUAAGUACACUACCGUCCGUCGGGUAGGUACGACCGACGAACGGUUAAACGUAACUAAUAGAAGUUAGUACGGACGUGAGACGUACGCCGACGGACGACGACGAGGGAGGUAGG